CAUCAGCCCCUUAGACCUGGGUACACACGUGCUACAAUGGACGGCCAAAGAGCUGCAAGACCGCGAGGUGGAGCUAAUCUCAUAAAACCGUUCUCAGUUCGGAUUGUAGGCUGCAACUCGCCUACAUGAAGCUGGAAUCGCUAGUAAUCGCGGAUCAGCAUGCCGCGGUGAAUACGUUCCCGGGCCUUGUACACACCGCCCGUCACACCACGAGAGUUUGUAACACCCGAAGUCGGUGGGGUAACCUUUUUGGAGCCAGCCGCCUAAGGUGGGACAGAUGAUUGGGGUGAAGUCGAACAAGUAGCCUAA
rnacentral:rRNA from 1 species